ACGAAUUCAAAAUUAUUUGUUUUUUUAACAGAAGAAGAAUUUCUAUUGAUGUGAGGAAAAAAAGAACUAUAAAUGCAGAGAAUGAGAUAUCCUUAGCAAAAAAUCAAAAUAGUGAGAAAGAACAAAAAUGAAUCUAUCCUAUGGGAUGCAAAUUAUUGUGUCCCAAUUCUGAUGGAGUUAGAAGAUGACUCCAUCAGUGUAGUUUCCAUUUGACUUUGGCCCAUAUGGUGGCCAGAAAGGUGGUCCUAUCCCUCAACUCUCUAGUGGAUGCAU
rnacentral:lncRNA from 1 species